rnacentral:rRNA from 1 species
UACGUAGGGGGCAAGCGUUGUCCGGAAUCAUUGGGCGUAAAGAGCGUGUAGGCGGCCCGGUAAGUCCGCUGUGAAAGUCCAGGGCUCAACCCUGGGAUGCCGGUGGAUACUGUCGGGCUCGAGUCCGGAAGAGGAGUGUGGAAUUCCUGGUGUAGCGGUGAAAUGCGCAGAUAUCAGGAGGAACACCGGUGGCGAAGGCGGCUUGCUGGGCCAGUUCUGACGCUGAGGAGCGAAAGCGUGGGGAGCGAACAGG